UACGAAGGGGGCUAGCGUUGCUCGGAAUCACUGGGCGUAAAGGGUGCGUAGGCGGGUUUUUAAGUCAGGGGUGAAAUCCUGGAGCUCAACUCCAGAACUGCCUUUGAUACUGAAGAUCUUGAGUCCGGGAGAGGUGAGUGGAACUGCGAGUGUAGAGGUGAAAUUCGUAGAUAUUCGCAAGAACACCAGUGGCGAAGGCGGCUCACUGGCCCGGUACUGACGCUGAGGCACGAAAACGUGGGGAGCAAACAGG
rnacentral:rRNA from 1 species